GUGAGACAGGUGCUGCAUGGCUGUCGUCAGCUCGUGUUGUGAAAUGUUGGGUUAAGUCCCGCAACGAGCGCAACCCUUAUCCUUUGUUGCCAGCGAUUAGGUCGGGAACUCAAAGGAGACUGCCAGUGAUAAACUGGAGGAAGGUGGGGAUGACGUCAAGUCAUCAUGGCCCUUACGACCAGGGCUACACACGUGCUACAAUGGCGCAUACAAAGA
rnacentral:rRNA from 1 species